rnacentral:tRNA from 1 species
AUAUAGCUCAGUGGCACAGCACCUGCCUGGCAAACACAAGGUCCCAAGUUCAAUUCCUGGUAU